rnacentral:rRNA from 1 species
UACGUAGGGUGCAAGCGUUAAUCGGAAUUACUGGGCGUAAAGCGUGCGCAGGCGGUUAUGCAAGACAGAGGUGAAAUCCCCGGGCUCAACCUGGGAACUGCAUUUGUGACUGCAUCGCUGGAGUACGGCAGAGGGGGAUGGAAUUCCGCGUGUAGCAGUGAAAUGCGUAGAUAUGCGGAGGAACACCGAUGGCGAAGGCAAUCCCCUGGGCCUGUACUGACGCUCAUGCACGAAAGCGUGGGGAGCAAACAGG